rnacentral:rRNA from 1 species
UAGGGAAUCUUCCGCAAUGGACGAAAGUCUGACGGAGCAACGCCGCGUGAGUGAAGAAGGAUUUCGGUUCGUAAAACUCUGUUGUUAGGGAAGAAAAAAUGUAUAGUAACUAUAUACAAAAGAGACGGUAACUAACCAGAAAGCCACGGCUAACUACGUGCCAGCAGCCGCAGUAAUACGUAGGUGGCAAGCGUUGUCCGGAAUUAUUGGGCGUAAAGCGCGCGCAGGUGGUUUAGAAAGUCUGAUGUGAAAGCCCACGGCUCAACCGUGGAGGGUCAUUGGAAACUAAUAAACUUGAGUGCAGGAGAGAAAAGUGGAAUUCCUAGUGUAGCGGUGAAAUGCGUAGUAGUUAGGAGGAACACCGGUGGCGAAAGCGGCUUUUUGGCCUGCAACUGACACUGAGGCGCGAAAGCGUGGGGAGCAAACAGG